UACAGAGGUGGCAAGCGUUGGUCGGAAUUACUGGGCGUAAAGGGCGCGUAGGCGGCCUUCUAAGUCAGACGUGAAAUCCCCCGGCUUAACCUGGGAACUGCGUCUGAUACUGGGAGGCUAGAGUGCGGGAGAGGGAUGCGGAAUUCCAGGUGUAGCGGUGAAAUGCGUAGAUAUCUGGAGGAACACCGGUGGCGAAGGCGGCAUCCUGGACCGACACUGACGCUGAGGCGCGAAAGCUAGGGUAGCAAACGGG
rnacentral:rRNA from 1 species